UCACCAGACUCCUACGGGAGGCAGCAGUGGGGGAUAUUGCACAAUGGGGGGAACCCUGAUGCAGCGACGCCGCGUGGGUGAAGGAGCGUUUCGGCGCGUAAAGCCCUAUCGGCAGGGAAGAAGGAGGACGGUACCUGACUAGGAAGCCCCGGCUAACUACGUGCCAGCAGCCGCGGUAAUACGUAGGGGGCAAGCGUUAUCCGGAUUUACUGGGUGUAAAGGGAGCGUAGACGGCGACGCAAGUCUGGAGUGAAAGCCCGGGGCCCAACCCCGGGACUGCUCUGGAAACUGGCGGGCUGGAGUGCCGGAGAGGUAAGCGGAAUUCCUAGUGUAGCGGUGAAAUGCGUAGAUAUUAGGAGGAACACCAGUGGCGAAGGCGGCUUACUGGACGGCAACUGACGCUGAGGCUCGAAAGCGUGGGGAGCAAACAGGAUUAGAUACCCGCGUACG
rnacentral:rRNA from 1 species